rnacentral:rRNA from 1 species
ACGCUCGACACCUACAGGAGGCAGCAGUGGGGAAUAUUGCACAAUGGGGGAAACCCUGAUGCAGCGACGCCGCGUGAGUGAAGAAGUAUUUCGGUAUGUAAAGCUCUAUCAGCAGGGAAGAAGAUGACGGUACCUGAGUAAGAAGCCCCGGCUAACUACGUGUCAGCAGCCGCGGUAAUCUGAGCGGGCUGGCAAGGC